rnacentral:rRNA from 1 species
GACGAACGCUGGCGGCGUGCUUAACACAUGCAAGUCGAACGGAAAGGCCCUGCUUUUGUGGGGUGCUCGAGUGGCGAACGGGUGAGUAACACGUGAGUAACCUGCCCUUGACUUUGGGAUAACUUCAGGAAACUGGGGCUAAUACCGGAUAGGAGCUCCUGCUGCAUGGUGGGGGCUGGAAAGUUUCGGCGGCUGGGGAUGGACUCGCGGCUUAUCAGCUUGUUGGUGGGGUAGUGGCUUACCAAGGCUUUGACGGGUAGCCGGCCUGAGAGGGUGACCGGCCACAUUGGGACUGAGAUACGGCCCAGACUCCUACGGGAGGCAGCAGUGGGGAAUAUUGCACAAUGGGCGGAAGCCUGAUGCAGCAACGCCGCGUGCGGGAUGACGGCCUUCGGGUUGUAAACCGCUUUCGCCUGUGACGAAGCGUGAGUGACGGUAAUGGGUAAAGAAGCACCGGCUAACUACGUG